CUUAAAUUUUAGAACAUCAGUUACAGAGCAACAACACUGCUGUUCAAAAACACUUGUCUCCAGCUAUUUCAUUAUACCUUCUGAUGUGGCUUCACAUCUAAGAGGACAAAAUAGCUUCAUCUUUGUCUGAGGAAUGCCAAGGGGAUGGAAAUAUGAAAAUGCCACCAGGAGCUUUUAUUUUUACAACUAGCAAUGGUAUGAUUUUCAUUGCAUGAAUAAGUGAACUGACCUUUACAAAGUGUGGUUCUCCAGGCCAAGGUCAUGCAGAGAUGGAAAAGCAGAGUGAUGCUGCAGACCCAGAUGCUGUCCACCUGUGAGCAAACAGGGGCACAUAAGGCCAUCAGGGUCCUGGUUCCUCCCCCUCACCUUUUCAGAGAAAAAUCUCAUCAGCAGUGUUUUUCUUGAGAUUCCUAUGUCAAAGACCUACCUGAAACACCUCCAGAUAGUCUCGUAUUCCAGUGCUAACUGCCGCCUGCUCUUCCUCUAGCCAUUAUAUUUUCUUUCUAAAGGUCUGGAUGGGAAGGAGGGUUGCAGAACAUUGGGGAGAGAGAAAGAGAAAAUCUUGUCUUUACAUCUAUGUGGUUAAUUUUUCUAUGCAGGAGCAAAACAGCACUUAAAUUUUUUUGUCUGUG
rnacentral:lncRNA from 1 species